AUGGCUCGAACUAAGUGCACAGCCUGUAAGUCCACCGGCGGAAAGGCUCCGACGAAGCACCUUCGGGCUUUCUAUGCUGCCGCUCGUAAGACUGCUCCCGCCACUGGUGGAGUGAAGAAGCCUCGCCGAUAUCGCCCUGGAACUGUUGCUCUUCGUGAAAUUCGCAAAUAUCAGAAGGGCACAGAGCUACUUAUAAGGAAGCUACCGUUCCAAAGGCUUGUCAGGGAGAUUGCCCAAUUUUGCAAGAGUGAUCUACGUUUCCAGAGCCAUGCGGUGCUUGCUUUGCAGGAGGCAGCCGAAGCAUAA
rnacentral:rRNA from 1 species